rnacentral:rRNA from 1 species
AUUGAACGCUGGCGGCAGGCCUAACACAUGCAAGUCGAGCGGAUGAGUGGAGCUUGCUCCAUGAUUCAGCGGCGGACGGGUGAGUAAUGCCUAGGAAUCUGCCUGGUAGUGGGGGACAACGUUUCGAAAGGAACGCUAAUACCGCAUACGUCCUACGGGAGAAAGCAGGGGACCUUCGGGCCUUGCGCUAGCAGAUGAGCCUAGGUCGGAUUAGCUAGUUGGUGGGGUAAAGGCCUACCAAGGCGACGAUCCGUAACUGGUCUGAGAGGAUGAUCAGUCACACUGGAACUGAGACACGGUCCAGACUCCUACGGGAGGCAGCAGUGGGGAAUAUUGGACAAUGGGCGAAAGCCUGAUCCAGCCAUGCCGCGUGUGUGAAGAAGGUCUUCGGAUUGUAAAGCACUUUAAGUUGGGAGGAAGGGCAGUAAGUUAAUACCUUGCUGUUUUGACGUUACCAACAGAAUAAGCACCGGCUAACUUCGUGCCAGCAGCCGCAGUAAAAC